AAUAUUGGACAAUGGGGGCAACCCUGAUCCAGCCAUGCCGCGCGUGUGAAGAAGGUCUUCGGAUUGUUAAGCACUUUAUGUUGGGAGGAAGGGCGUGAGGUUAAUACCCUGAAGUUUGGACGUUACUAACAGAAUAAGCACCGGCUAACUCUGUGCCAGCAGCCGCGGUAAUACAGAGGGUGCAAGCGUUAAUCGGAAUUACUGGGAGUAAAGCGCGCGUAGGUGGUUCAGUAAGAUGGGUGUGAAAUCCCCGGGCUUAACCUGGGAACUGCUUUCAUAACUGCUGAGCUAGAGUACGGUAGAGGGUGGUGGAAUUUCCUGUGUAGCGGUGAAAUGCGUAGAUAUAGGAAGGAACUCCAGUGGCGAAGGCGACUACCUGGACUGAUACUGACACUGAGGUGCGAAAGCGUGGGGAGCAAAC
rnacentral:rRNA from 1 species